GAUGAACGCUAGCGGCAGGCCUAAUACAUGCAAGUCGAACGAUACUUUCCAGCUUGCUGGAGAGGAAAGUGGCGCACGGGUGCGUAACGCGUAUGCAACCUACCUUAAUCAGGGGGAUAGCCCGAAGAAAUUCGGAUUAACACCACAUAAAAUCACAGUAUAGCAUUAUACAAUGAUCAAAUAUUUAUAGGAUUAAGAUGGGCAUGCGUGACAUUAGUUAGUUGGCGGGGUAACGGCCCACCAAGACCACGAUGUCUAGGGGAUCUGAGAGGAUGACCACCCACACUGGUACUGAGACACGGACCAGACUCCGACGAGAGGCAGCGGUAAGGAAUAUUGGUCAAUGGAGGCAACUCUGAACCAGCCAUGCCGCGUGCAGGAAGACAGCCCUCUGGGUCGUAAACUGCUUUUAUUCGGGAAUAAACCUAUCUACGUGUAGAUAGCUGAAUGUACCGAAGGAAUAAGGAUCGGCUAACUCCGUGCCAGCAGCCGCGGUAA
rnacentral:rRNA from 1 species